CCCCUCCCCCGUGGUCUUCUGUUAAGUUUCUCAAGAUCCACAUAUGAGUGAAAACAUAUGGCACCUGUCGUUCUCUGACUGACUUAUUUCACUCGGCAUCAUACCUUCCAGUUCAAUCCACGUUGCUGCAACUGGCAGGAUUUCAUUCUUUCUCAUUGCCAUGUAGUGUUCCGUUGUGUAUAUAAACCACAUCUUCUUUGUCCGUUCUCCAGUUGAUGGAGAUUUAU